rnacentral:lncRNA from 10 species
CCACCAGCCAGCCUUUUCCUCUUGCAAGUUCCCUCUCUCUCACUAGAGAGAGAGAGCUGUUUUUCUUUCUCUUUCUUUUGUCUAUUAAACCCCUGCUCCUAAACUCGUGUGUGUCCGUGUCCUAAACUCUCCUGGCACCAGAAGAACCCUGAUUAUUUACCCAGACAACUGUAGCUGCUUCAAAGGCUCCAGCCCACUGAAAUCUGCAGCCACACUCACUACUCCUAUAAAACUGCUGGUUUUGAAAAUCAUCAAUGAGACUCCAAUGGUGCAAAUAGAAUCAAAAGUUCCUGAUAUAGAAUAAGCAAAUGAUGGAAGAAGCCAAGUUUCCUGAGUGGCCACUAGGAAAACUCUGUCUUCUUUAUCAAAACUAUGAGGACACAGCAACAAGGAGCUGUCUAAAAAGCUGAGACGGAGCCUUCACCAGACACUGAAUCUGCCGGCGACUUGAUCUUGGAUUUCCCAGCCUCAAGAACUGUGAAAAUAAACUUCUGUUGCUUAUAAAUUACUCCGUCUGUGGUAUGUUGUUAUAGCAGCAGGGAUGGACUAAGAAACUCUCUCUUUAUAUAAACAAUUACUUGUGGAGAAGUCUGUAUAAUUACAGAGUAAAAUCUUUAAAAUCUCAUGGGUUUAUAAGUAGCCUUACCUGCUGUCUUAAAUUCAAGAUUCCCACAUUUGCACCUCUUUAGUAUAUAGAAUAUAGACUAUAAAAAUAGUCUUGGCUAUCUAAGGCUAGUGGCCAACUGUCUAUUGCAGAGAAAGAGUGAGAAAUUUAAUAUAAAUAUUCAUUCUUACAUAUCCACUUCCUAGGCUAAUUAUCUAUUUAAGAAACUUUGCCUUAUUGCUACACACAUACAUUUAUAAAUAAAAGUACUUCUGCAUUUUUCAAAUAUAAAUUAGUUUUUUAAGACUUGCGUGCAUACCUAAAAGCAUAUGCACCAGAUAUGUCCAUAUAAGCACAAUUCCAAUCAAAGAAAAAGACUGUACUUAAACCAACAGUAAGGCCUUAAAUCAACUAGGAAAUCCAAUUCAAUCAUAUUUCAGGGUUUAUCAUUUCAGUCAUACAAACUUUAUCCUGGACAAAAACUGAUGUGGGAUGUGUGUGUGUGUAGUUCUAAAUAUUGUAAGCAAAUUUAUUUAAAUGAGCUCAUCUGGAAAUACUGAGUUCUAUGUAAUACAUUUCUUUGUAUUGAACACAAUUGAUUUCUGUGUGUCAAAACAAUGAAAGUGGGUCAUUAAAGCAAUUAUUGUUACUGUGUAAUUUUACUACAUAAAUUACCAAAUAAAUAAUAUUAUUGCAGAAAAACACAAGCUUACUAUCUUUUUACUUAUUUUCAAGUGAAAAGAUGGAAGAGCUAUUCCUAUGUCCUGAAAAGUCCAUAUAUUAGUUGAACAUGCUGAUAUCUGAUUCAUGAAAUCUCCAUUGCUUCAGUACCAUAGAUGUGAAAUGAUUUUAAAGCAUAUUCACAUUUGUCAUCCUAUGUUUUUAUAUUUAAUAAUUUUACUCUAAUUUUACAGUUACUGAAACUGUUACAUAGCUGUGCUGUUCUAUAUCUGGACAUGCUGUGUAUAACAGUAUGUUAUUUUUACAGGUACCGGACUUUAUUCUCUAGAUCUUUUCAGGGGCAUGCAUAGCUCUUAAAGCACCCAUGCUCAUAUUCAAAUCUUCUAAUCUUUU